rnacentral:rRNA from 1 species
GAUGAACGCUGGCGGCGUGCCUAAUACAUGCAAGUCGAGCGAACGGACGAGAAACUUGCUUCUCUGAUGUUAGCGGCGGACGGGUGAGUAACACGUGGAUAACCUACCUGUAAGACUGGGAUAACUUCGGGAAACCGGAGCUCAUACCGGAUAAUAUUUUGAACCGCAUGGUUCAAAAGUGAAAGACGGUCUUGCUGUCACUUAUAGAUGGAUCCGCGCUGCAUUAGCUAGUUGGUAAGGUAACGGCUUACCAAGGCAACGAUGCAUAGCCGACCUGAGAGGGUGAUCGGCCACACUGGAACUGAGACACGGUCCAGACUCCUACGGGAGGCAGCAGUAGGGAAUCUUCCGCAAUGGGCGAAAGCCUGACGCAGCAACGCCGCGUGAGUGAUGAAGGUCUUCGGAUCGUAAACCUCUGUUAUUAGGGAAGAACAUAUGUGUAAGUAACUGUGCACAUCUUGACGGUACCUAAUCAGAAAGCCCCGGCUAACUACGUG